rnacentral:rRNA from 1 species
GACAGAGGUGCCGAGCGUUAGGCGGAAUCACUGGGCUUAAAGCGUGUGUAGGCGGCCCGUUAAGUGUCUUGUGAAAUCCCCCGGCUCAGCCGGGGAACUGCUGGGCAUACUGGCGGGCUUGGGUCGCUCAGGGGCAGACGGAACAGGCGGUGGAGCGGUGAAAUGCGUAGAUAUCGCCUGGAACGCCGAAGGUGAAAACAGUCUGCUGGGGGCGCACCGACGCUGAGACACGAAAGCCAGGGGAGCGAACGGG